UACGGAGGGUGCAAGCGUUAUCCGGAUUUACUGGGUUAAAGGGUGCGUAGGCGGGCAGGUAAGUCAGGGGUGAAAUCUUCGAGCUUAACUCGGAAACUGCCUUUGAUACUAUCUGUCUUGAAUAUUGUGGAGGUAAGCGGAAUAUGUCAUGUAGCGGUGAAAUGCUUAGAUAUGACAUAGAACACCUAUUGCGAAGGCAGCUUACUACGCAUAUAUUGACGCUGAGGCACGAAAGCGUGGGGAUCAAACAGG
rnacentral:rRNA from 1 species